AUUUUUGCACGAAAACCCAGAGAGAGUGGAUUCGCAAGAUUUUCCAGCCACCAAGUAGUUGGUGUUCCGGUUUCGGGUUGUUCUGUUGUCUUCGACAUAGACGGGAGAACACAAAAUGUCUGUGUAACUUUUUUUGUGUGCUUUUUUUCCAUCAACCACACAAGUCGCAAAGUCUCACUUUUUAUUUUACAAAUUCCAACAAUCACCACCCCAUAUAGAACCCCCCCGCAAGUACCCCAAAGAAAUUGCUGCACCCAAGCGCCAGGGACUCACCUGCAGAGAAAGAGACAAUAUAUACCCGCCCCCGCCAAAGGACAAUCAAUUGAGUUUCACACAGUUUUCCCUUUUACAGCAUUUUCCCGAAAAAACCUUCAACGUGCAGUGUGUGAAGGAGAAAGAGAGAGAAAAAAUACGAAACCACCUUGUGAAUAAGUUUUCUUUAAGCCCGUGCUGGAGAAACACUCAAGUGGUUGAGGAGGAUUUAAGAGCGAAGAAAAAAACUGUGUGAAUUUGAACAAUUUUUUGUGGUAUGUGGAAAAUCCUGCAAUGAGAUUUUCUUUAUUAGUGAACUUGUGGAUACACACACAUUUUUCAUGCACUUGGAUUUAUUCGCGCAACUUUAACCCAGGCAGAGAGCCCGAAGACGCUUCAGCUUGAGAGAACAAGAUAUAAAAAAACAUCCCCAUUUUGCACACUGCCCCUCUAGGAAAGUCCGUGACUGCAAUUCGAGGCAACUGAAAAAAAAAGAGAUUUUUCAAGGUGUGAGCUUCACAAAAGCUCACUGGCAAAGGGAAAAAAAUGUGUUCCAAUGCAGAAAUUGCGAAAAUAUGGUAAAAGUGGCUAGAAAUGAGAAUGAAUCAACACUUGUGCAAACGACAGUACCCCAAAUGAGCGAAUCAGGAGCGAGAUAGAGCGACCCUGGGGGGCGUUGAGGGUGUGCAGAUAGUGAGGGUGGAUAGUGGAAGCGGCACAAGUAAUAAGAGAAGAUGAUGAUAAGACGCACCGAAAAUGGAGCGGCGGAAGAGAAAGGCGGAAAAUUGAAUUAGGCGGGAAUGAUAAAUUGCGAAAAAUAUUCACAGACAUGCAGAAUGGAUACACUUGCGUGCCACUUUGUCCCAUCCAUCGCAAAUCCCACCAUUGGACCUGGCACAGGAGGCACUCUACAGUGGACCUCUCACACAUGAAUUACUUUUUCAUGUCUCUCCCCAACUGCUUUGUGGUAUUCUCUCCUUGGCAAAAACCACACAAUGUCGGGUAGGAUGUGUGAAAAAUCACCACUGAUGGUGGAAUGGAGCAACUUUGGUGGACCGAGUGGAGCAUCAAGGAUCUCAUUGGUCCCAUCGUCGUGUAAACACAAAUAGAGAAAAAUGUUUAGGACUGGUCUGUGCACUUGUGAUAUAAUGAAUAAAAAACAGAAAACCCAAUUUUGCGUUUGGGAGGGCUAAAUAAGAAAAAGAAACAUAGUGCAAAGGAAAUGUUUCGCAAUGAGGAAAAUAAGUAGAGCCAGAUUGGAAGCAAGAAAGUGCCGCACAGAAAGAGCUACACUUAAAAAAAAUUGCUGAUAAAAUAAAAAAAAAUAAAUAAAUAAAUUUCUAAAAUAAAUAAAUCGCACUUAAACUGGCAUUUAAAACAAAAACGGUCUCUAAAAGUUGUGAAAAAAAUCGUUAAAAAAAGAAAAUUAGUGUAAAAACUAAUUGUAAAUAUUAAAAAAAAUCGCGAAAACAUCCCUAAGCGGGUUAUUUCACAAAAUCGACAGUGAAAGAGCGCACAUUAAAAAAAUAAAAA